rnacentral:rRNA from 1 species
GAUGAACGCUAGCAACAGGCUUAACACAUGCAAGUCGAGGGACCGGCGCACGGGUGAGUAACACGUAUCCAACCUGCCCUUUACUCGGGGAUAGCCUUUCGAAAGAAAGAUUAAUACCCGAUAUAAAGGAUGGGGAUGCGUUCCAUUAGGUUGUUGGUGAGGUAACGACUCACCAAGCCUUCGAUGGAUAGUGGUUAUGAGAGGAAGGACCCCCACGUGGGAACAGAGGCACGGUCCGAACACCUACAGGAAGCAGCAGUGAGGAAUAUUGUUCAGUGGGCACUAGCCUGAACCAGCCAAGUAACGUGAAGGAUGAAGGCUUAUGGGUCGUAAACUUCUUUUAUAUAAGAAUAUGUAUUAUAUGAAUAAGGAUCGGCUAACUCCGUGCCAGCAGCCGCGGUAAUAC